rnacentral:rRNA from 2 species
UAAACGACUCUCGGCAACGGAUAUCUCGGCUCACGCAUCGAUGAAGAACGUAGCAAAAUGCGAUACUUGGUGUGAAUUGCAGAAUCCCGUGAACCAUCGAGUUUUUGAACGCAAGUUGCGCCCGAAGCCUUUCGGUUGAGGGCACGUCUGCCUGGGCGUCACGC